GGAAUAUUGGGCAAUGGCGGCAACGCUGACCCAGCCAUCCCGCGUGCAGGAAGACGGCCCUCCGGGUUGUAAACUGCUUUUGGGUGAGAAGAAACCCUCUGAUGCGUCCGCGGUUGACGGUAUCACCAGAAUAAGGACCGGCUAACUCCGCGCCAGCAGCCGCGGUAAUACGGAGGGUCCAAGCGUUAUCCGGAAUCACUGGGUUUCAAGGGUGCGUAGGCGGCUUAGUCAGUCAGGGGUGAAAGGCCACGGCUUAACCGUGGGAUGUCCUCUGAUACUGCUGAGCUGGAAUGAGGUUGAGGUAGGCGGAACGUGACAUGUAGCGGUGAAAUGCAUAGAUAUGUCACAGAACACCGAUUGCGAAGGCAGCUUACUGGACCUGCAUUGACGCUGAGGCACGAAAGCGUGGGGAGCGAAC
rnacentral:rRNA from 1 species